rnacentral:misc_RNA from 1 species
AACUGCUAGAGAAAAGCAUUCUGUUUCAGGAGUCGGGAGAAAACUUCUGAUUCGAAAUACAUUAAAUAGUAACUCACUAAACAGGCAACAUUUUAGCGAGAAUAGAAAGGCUCCAGGAAUGUAGCCUAGCUUCAUGAAUCUGAAAGAUUAGCCUUUUGGGUUGCUUGGCCGGUUCGGUCCAAAAUAGUUUGUCACCAAUCCCAUAAUUGCAAACAUCAUAGCCAUCAUAACCUGCUUGAGAUCAUUUUCGUAAUUCUUCAUAUUUGAAAGAGACUCGGCACAAAAAAUUAUUGCCAGCCAUGACAAGAGUUUGUAGCGUAACAUGACGCCGGAGAUUCCGAAGGCCACGGCGAGGAAGCCCGCAUAGUCGACGGGGAGAUCCUGGGCGGAUAUCGCCGGAGGCGCGUACGGCCUCGCCGUCGACGGCUGCCGCGGAUCGUUGCCGGAAGAGCUCGUCUCCUUCAUUCUCUCG